UGCAAGUCGAGCGGAAGGCCCUUCGGGGUACUCGAGCGGCGAACGGGUGAGUAACACGUGAGUAACCUGCCCCCGACUCUGGGAUAAGCCCGGGAAACUGGGUCUAAUACCGGAUACGACACCUCCCCGCAUGGGGUGGGUGUGGAAAGUUUUUUCGGUUGGGGAUGGACUCGCGGCCUAUCAGCUUGUUGGUGGGGUAAUGGCCUACCAAGGCGACGACGGGUAGCCGGCCUGAGAGGGCGACCGGCCACACUGGGACUGAGACACGGCCCAGACUCCUACGGGAGGCAGCAGUGGGGAAUAUUGCGCAAUGGGCGAAAGCCUGACGCAGCGACGCCGCGUGGGGGAUGACGGCCUUCGGGUUGUAAACCUCUUUCAGCAGGGACGAAGUUGACGUGUACCUGCAGAAGAAGCGCCGGCUAACUACGUGCCAGCAGCCGCGGUAAUACGUAGGGCGCAAGCGUUGUCCGGAAUUAUUGGGCGUAAAGAGCUCGUAGGUGGCUUGUCACGUCGGGUGUGAAAGCUUGGGGCUUAACUCCAGGUCUGCAUUCGAUACGGGCUGGCUAGAGGUAGGUAGGGGAGAACGGAAUUCCUGGUGUAGCGGUGAAAUGCGCAGAUAUCAGGAGGAACACCGGUGGCGAAGGCGGUUCUCUGGGCCUUACCUGACGCUGAGGAGCGAAAGCGUGGGGAGC
rnacentral:rRNA from 1 species